CCCGUCGCUACUACCGAUUGAAUGGCUCAGUGAGGAUUUGGGAUUGGUAUUUGGGAGCUGGCAACGGCACCUGGAAGCUGAAAACUUAUUCAAAUUUGGUCAUUUAGAGGAAGUAAAAGUCGUAACAAGGUUUCUGUAGGUGAACCUGCAGAAGGAUCAUUG
rnacentral:ncRNA from 1 species